CUGAUGCUCUCACAUUGCUCACUGCAUUACAGCAAGCAGUUGAAGGACUAUCUUGACUGCUCGUCAGAAAAGGUAAGCAUGUCAACAAUGAAAGUUUUGCUUCCACACAGCUGAAUCCAUUCGCAGGCUUCAUGGCUGCAACCAGAAAUAACACAAUCAAAGUUGAUACUCUCUUCAUUUUCACUCUCUUUUUCUUUCACUCUUG
rnacentral:lncRNA from 1 species